AGUGAACGCUGGCGGUAGGCCUAGCACAUGCAAGUCGAACGGCAGCACAGUAAGAGCUUGCUCUUACGGGUGGCGAGUGGCGGACGGGUGAGGAAUACAUCGGAAUCUACUUUUUCGUGGGGGAUAACGUAGGGAAACUUACGCUAAUACCGCAUACGACCUACGGGUGAAAGCAGGGGAUCUUCGGACCUUGCGCGAUUGAAUGAGCCGAUGUCGGAUUAGCUAGUUGGCGGGGUAAAGGCCCACCAAGGCGACGAUCCGUAGCUGGUCUGAGAGGAUGAUCAGCCACACUGGAACUGAGACACGGUCCAGGCUCCUACGGGAGGCAGCAGUGGGGAAUAUUGGACAAUGGGCGCAAGCCUGAUCCAGCCAUACCGCGUGGGUGAAGAAGGCCUUCGGGUUGUAAAGCCCUUUUGUUGGGAAAGAAAAGCAGCAGGUUAAUACCCCGCUGUUCUGACGGUACCCAAAGAAUAAGCACCGGCUAACUUCGUG
rnacentral:rRNA from 1 species